UACGAAGGGUGCAAGCGUUGUUCGGAAUUACUGGGCGUAAAGCGUGCGCAGGCGGUUUUGUAAGUCUGUCGUGAAAUCCCCGGGCUUAACCUGGGAACUGCAUUGGUGACUGCAAGGCUUGAGUGUGUCAGAGGGAGGUGGAAUUCCGCGUGUAGCAGUGAAAUGCGUAGAUAUGCGGAGGAACACCGAUGGCGAAGGCAGCCUCCUGGGAUAACACUGACGCUCAUGCACGAAAGCGUGGGGAGCAAACAGG
rnacentral:rRNA from 1 species